rnacentral:rRNA from 1 species
UACGGGGGGAGCAAGCGUUGUUCGGAUUUACCGGGCGUAAAGGGCGCGUAGGCGGCGCGACAAGUCACUUGUGAAAUCUCCGGGCUUAACUCGGAGCGGCCAAGUGAUACUGUCGUGCUAGAGUGCGGAAGGGGCAACUGGAAUUCUCGGUGUAGCGGUGAAAUGCGUAGAUAUCGAGAGGAACACCUGCGGCGAAGGCGGGUUGCUGGGCCGACACUGACGCUGAAGCGCGAAAGCCAGGGGAGCGAACGGG